rnacentral:rRNA from 8 species
UGACCUCGAAUCAGGUAG